GAUGAACGCUGGCGGCGUGCCUAAUACAUGCAAGUAGAACGCUGAAGGAAGGAGCUUGCUCUUUCCGGAUGAGUUGCGAACGGGUGAGUAACGCGUAGGUAACCUGCCUGGUAGCGGGGGAUAACUAUUGGAAACGAUAGCUAAUACCGCAUAACAGUAGAUGUUGCAUGAUAUCUACUUAAAAGGUGCAAUUGCACCACUACCAGAUGGACCUGCGUUGUAUUAGCUAGUUGGUGAGGUAACGGCUCACCAAGGCGACGAUACAUAGCCGACCUGAGAGGGUGAUCGGCCACACUGGGACUGAGACACGGCCCAGACUCCUACGGGAGGCAGCAGUAGGGAAUCUUCGGCAAUGGGCGGAAGUCUGACCGAGCAACGCCGCGUGAGUGAAGAAGGUUUUCGGAUCGUAAAGCUCGGUUGUAAGAGAAGAACGAGUGUGAGAGUGGAAAGUUCACACUGUGACGGUAUCUUACCAGAAAGGGACGGCUAACUACGUG
rnacentral:rRNA from 1 species